rnacentral:tRNA from 1 species
GCUUCCUUAGUAUAAUUAGUAUAGUUGACUUCCAAUCAACCAGUUCUGGUUAAAUCCAGAAAGAAGCA